rnacentral:rRNA from 1 species
CGGAAAACUGGGGAUAAUACCCUAUAGUCCGGAUGUACUGGAAUGUUAUCCGGAUGAAAGAUCCGUCGCUUCAGGAUGAGUCUGCGGCCGAUUAGGUAGUUGUUGGGGUUACGUCCCACCAAGCCUAUGAUCGGUACGGGUUGUGGGAGCAAGAGCCCGGAGAUGGAUUCUGAGACACGAAUCCAGGCCCUACGGGGCGCAGCAGGCGCGAAAACUUUACAAUGCGGGCAACCGUGAUAAGGAAACCCCGAGUGCCAGCAUAGGCUGGCUGUCCGCCAGCAUAAACACCUGGUGAAGAAAGGGCCGGGCAAGACCGGUGCCAGCCGCCGCGGUAACA